rnacentral:tRNA from 1 species
GGGCUUAUAGUUUAAUGGUUAGAACACGCCGCUCAUAACGGUGGAGUUGUAGGUUCAAGUCCUACUAGGCCUA